rnacentral:lncRNA from 1 species
AUCAAAAGAAAAACUCUAACGUUGCCACCGAAAACUCGAUCAGGAAUCCAAACUCAACUUGUCACUCCUUUCCUUUCUUUCCUUUUUUCUCUCAACGUAUUUGCUUUCUUUCUUUCUUUUGUUUCUUUCCUUUUUUUCUAGUUUUUUUCGUGUGUGUGUUUAUAUAGGGAGUACUAUGAGUGUAUGGUGUUAUGUGUGUUUGUAGUGAGGUUGG